GACGAACCCUGGCGGCGUGCUUAACACAUGCAAGUCGAACGGAAAGGCCCUGCUUGCAGGGUGCUCGAGUGGCGAACGGGUGAGUAACACGUGGGUGAUCUGCCCCUUACUUUGGGAUAAGCCUGGGAAACUGGGUCUAAUACUGGAUAGGGCCAUGCUGUAGGUGGUGUGGUGGAAAGAUUAGUUUCGGUAAGGGAUGAGCUCGCGGCCUAUCAGCUUGUUGGUGGGGUAAUGGCCUACCAAGGCGUCGACGGGUAGCCGGCCUGAGAGGGUGGACGGCCACAUUGGGACUGAGAUACGGCCCAGACUCCUACGGGAGGCAGCAGUGGGGAAUAUUGCACAAUGGGCGCAAGCCUGAUGCAGCGACGCCGCGUGGGGGAUGACGGCCUUCGGGUUGUAAACUCCUUUCAGCCAUGACGAAGCCCUUGUGGUGACGGUAGUGGUAGAAGAAGCACCGGCUAACUACGUG
rnacentral:rRNA from 1 species